ensembl:lncRNA
CUGUGAGCGGGGCCUAGACACGUGCACUGCUGUGUUUGCUGCUGUUACACGAGGGCUGUCAGCACGGUGAUGGGGAGGCAGUGGAGAAGCUGAAGAGGUGAAGCAAUUUAGGACUCAACCCAAAGGUUAUCCAAGCCAUCAGGAAGCUUCGUGUUGGUUCCUGCAGCCUUCGGCAGAGGCGCAGCUCCCCUCACUGUAACCACAUCUGAGCCACUGCAACAGGCAUUACUUAAUAGCGCUGAGAAGAGAAGCAGAAGAAAAUUUCUUUGAAGUUUUACCUGGACCUGAAGAGGCAGGAGGAGAGAAGACAAAGUGGAAAUACGGGUGAAUGGAGGAGAGCCAUUUGCCACCAUCCAAACAGGUCCAUUUCAACCACUUUCCUGUUGCGUACCUGCUUUUAGCCAGAGCCACUUGAUGCAAGCAGAGGUUAGAGACCUUUGGGGCCAACGCUAAAGUUCAAACCAGCUCCAACCCCACUAAUGUCAACUUCAAAGGCUUCCCUGUGCUGCAGCUACAGCUUUUCCUGCAGAGCCCAUGCCGGCGUCACCGGAAGCUGACGUUGGAUCAGGGAUGGAAACAUAAACAUGCGCAGCCAAAGUUGCAAGUUCCUUGGUUCCAAGGCCAAAGGAAAGCC